AGGGGUCACUUGGGUCAGGACAGAUGCGGACACUCACCAUGGAGUGUGGGCUGAGCUGGCUGCUCCUCCUGGCUCUUCUAGGGGGUGUCCAGUGUGAGGAGAAGCUGGUGGAGUCUGGGGGAGACUUGGUGAAGCCUGGGGGUUCUCUCAGACUCUCCUGUGUAGCCUCGGGAUUCACCUUCAGCAGCUACUACAUGAGCUGGGUCCGCCAGGCCCCAGGGAAGGGGCUACAGUGG